rnacentral:rRNA from 1 species
AUUGAACGCUGGCGGCAGGCUUAACACAUGCAAGUCGAACGGUAACAUAAAGAAGCUUGCUUCUUUGAUGACGAGUGGCGGACGGGUGAGUAAUGCUUGGGAAUCUAGCUUAUGGAGGGGGAUAACUACGGGAAACUGUAGCUAAUACCGCGUAAUAUCGAAAGAUUAAAGUGUGGGACCUUCGGGCCACAUGCCAUAGGAUGAGCCCAAGUGGGAUUAGGUAGUUGGUGAGGUAAAGGCUCACCAAGCCGACGAUCUCUAGCUGGUCUGAGAGGAUGACCAGCCACACUGGGACUGAGACACGGCCCAGACUCCUACGGGAGGCAGCAGUGGGGAAUAUUGCGCAAUGGGGGCAACCCUGACGCAGCCAUGCCGCGUGAAUGAAGAAGGCCUUCGGGUUGUAAAGUUCUUUCGGUAGCGAGGAAGGCACUUAGUUUAAUAGACUAGGUGAUUGACGUUAACUACAGAAGAAGCACGG